rnacentral:rRNA from 1 species
UACGAAGGGGGCUAGCGUUGCUCGGAAUCACUGGGCGUAAAGGGUGCGUAGGCGGGUCUUUAAGUCAGGGGUGAAAUCCUGGAGCUCAACUCCAGAACUGCCUUUGAUACUGAGGAUCUUGAGUACGGGAGAGGUGAGUGGAACUGCGAGUGUAGAGGUGAAAUUCGUAGAUAUUGGGAAGAACACCAGUGGCGAAGGCGGCUAACUGGUCCAGAUCUGACGCUGAGGUGCGAAAGCGUGGGGAGCAAACAGG